CAAAGAGAGGCUCACCUCCACGGCUACUGGCCACAGAUGCUGAUGUUCCCAGAAGGCACCACUACGAACGGCACCACUCUCAUAAAGUUCAAACCUGGUGCCUUCCUGGCUGGAGUCCCAGUCCAACCUGUUCUGCUGCACUACCCCAACAAACUGGAUACUGUGCGCUGGACCCACAGGGGAACUACCUGGGUUGAGGCAUUGGGGCACACCUGCUCUCAGCUCUACACUAACGUUACUGUUGAGUAAGGCCAUAUUGUCCAUAAUCAGAAUGACCACUCACAGAAGAAAAAUGUUCUGUUUCUCAUUGGCUGUAAUACCUGUCAGUACAAAAUGUAUGUUCUCUUAUUGGCUACAGUACCUGCCAGUA